rnacentral:rRNA from 1 species
UACAGAGGGUGCGAGCGUUAAUCGGAAUUACUGGGCGUAAAGCGCGCGUAGGCGGCUUUGCAAGUCGGGUGUGAAAUCCCCAGGCUUAACCUGGGAACUGCAUUCGAGACUGCAUUGCUAGAGUAUGGGAGAGGGAAGUGGAAUUUCAGGUGUAGCGGUGAAAUGCGUAGAUAUCUGAAGGAACAUCAGUGGCGAAAGCGACUUCCUGGACCAAUACUGACGCUCAUGCACGAAAGCGUGGGGGGCAAACAGG